UACGUAGGGUGCAAGCGUUAAUCGGAAUUACUGGGCGUAAAGCGUGCGCAGGCGGUUUUUUAAGUCAGAGGUGAAAUCCCCGGGCUCAACCUGGGAACUGCCUUUGUGACUGCAAGGCUUGAGUGCGGCAGAGGGGGAUGGAAUUCCGCGUGUAGCAGUGAAAUGCGUAGAUAUGCGGAGGAACACCGAUGGCGAAGGCAAUCCCCUGGGCCUGCACUGACGCUCAUGCACGAAAGCGUGGGGAGCAAACAGG
rnacentral:rRNA from 1 species